UACGUAGGGUGCAAGCGUUUAAUCGGAAUUACUGGGCGUAAAGCGUGCGCAGGCGGUUAUGUAAGACAGAUGUGAAAUGCCCGGGCUUAACCUGGGAACUGCAUUUGUGACUGCAAGGCUAGAAUCUGGCAGAGGGGGGUAGAAUUCCACGUGUAGCAGUGAAAUGCGUAGAGAUGUGGAGGAACACCGAUGGCGAAGGCAGCCCCCUGGGUCCAAGGAUUGAC
rnacentral:rRNA from 1 species